rnacentral:RNase_P_RNA from 1 species
GUGGAUGGAAGGUGGCUGCCUCGCUACUUAAUUGUGGCGGGGAGGAAAGUCCGGGCUCCGGAGGACAGCGUAGCGGGUAAUUCCCGUCGGCUCGCCAAAUUUUAUGGCGGGUUAGGAUUAGAGCUACAGAGACGAGUCUCUACCGAAAGGCGGAGGGUGAAACGAGGCAAUCUCUACGCGGAGUAAGGCUGAAUAGGGGAUGAGGGCUGGUCCGGCCCGUUAAUAAUCCCGGGUAAGCUGCUUGAGCCUUCGCGGCAACGCGAGGGUCGAGAGGAAUAGUCAUCCAGAUGCGCAAAUAUCGUAUCAGGACAGAACUCGGCUUAUUCCAUCCACUCUU